rnacentral:lncRNA from 1 species
GCCACACAUCACAGAGGGGAGAUGAAGACAGACACAUGGAACACAGACAAGUCUGAAGCAGCAGAUCCCCAAGAUGGGACCAAAAUAAAGUUGAAAGUAUGCGGAAGAUUAAAGUGAGGAGGAAUGCUGGUAAAUACAGAGCGUGACCUUUCCUUUGUGCAGAGAAAGCCCUGCCACCUCCGCUCAUCGGGAGUCAAGGCACAAAUGAAAGCUCCCGGGUGGGAGAGGAAAAGCACACUCGAACGCAUAGCAAAACUUACCCCACU